rnacentral:ncRNA from 1 species
CGAUAGCGAACAGUACCGUGAGGGAAAGAUGAAAAGCACUUUGAAAAGAGAGUUAAAAAGUACGUGAAACCGUUAAAAGGGAAACGAAUGGGGUUAGCAAUGCGUCGUGCGAGAUUCAGCCGGUGGGUGGGCCAGGCGGGCGGUUGGCGGAUCUGAAUGGACCGCUGCCGUUCGGGUUGGUUUCCCGACCGUCGCACUUCUCGCAGGCGCGCGCCAACGUCGGUUAGGGCUGGGUCUCAAAGGCGGUGGAAAGGUAGGUUUGGACUCUCGGGCCCGAACUGUUACAGUCCUCCGUUUGUCAUGGCCCGGACCUGACCGAGGAGCUUGCGGUGCAUGCCGUUCGGCUAGGGUCCCGUCUUCCCGGUCGGUCGUCGAAUGCGGUGGACUGCGUGCAGUGCGCCGCGACUGCUGCCGGUCGCGAGGGAGGUGAUUUCGUACUAUGCACCCACGGCGUUGGCGGUCAUAUGGCCUCAUCCGACCCGUCUUGAAACACGGACCAAGGAGUCUAACAUGUGUGCGAGUCUUUGAGUGACCGAAACUCCGAGGCGUAAUGAAAGUGAAGGCGACUUCUGUCGCUGAGGUGAGAGCCUUUUUCCAAAAAAAAAAGGCGCAUCAUUGACCGACCUAUUCUACUCUUAGAAAGGUUUGAGUAAGAGCGCAUCUGUUGGGACCCGAAAGAUGGUGAACUAUGCCUGAAUAGGGUGAAGCCAGAGGAAACUCUGGUGGAGGCUCGUAGCGAUUCUGACGUGCAAAUCGAUCGUCAAAUUUGGGUAUAGGGGCGAAAGACUAAUCGAACUGUCUAGUAGCUGGUUCCCUCCGAAGUUUCCCUUAGGAUAGCUGGAACUUACGGCAGUUU